rnacentral:lncRNA from 1 species
CGCUGACGUGGAUAAGUGGAGGCGUAUUCCCCCGAAUGCGUCUCCCCUCCAUGGAAGCGUAUUCGUCCUCUCCUUCGGGCUAAAAUACGUUUCCCUUUCUGGAAAACAUAUUUCCUGAGAAGGCGCUUUCCGUUUUUCUGGCUGAGGGCCUGUUUGUGAUGAUUUUAUUACAAAUAAGUCCCUGGCAGAAAAAUAGCUAUAUUAACCGUAGCUCCAAAUCAGGUGAUUCCAAAGCCCACUUCUUCGUUUCGUCGAGCCCAUUCUAAUGGAAUCACUUUCACCGAACGCUUUCCGGUGAUUCGUUCCGCGAGUUUCUCGCACUUUCUCCCGGUGAUUUCUUCCACCCCAGGCAAGCCACACCCUCCAUCUGCAUGAUUGCAAUGCAGUGACAUGGUUUAUUUAUUUAAACUUGUUUAAAAUAUUGUUCUAGCUACUUGUGAUUUGUUCAUGGCAUUCUCGGAGUAUUGUUUUGAUCUUGCUUUUGCCAUGAUAUUGCUUGGAGUUCUAGGACUUAUAUUUUGAUGAUUAUGUGGAUGACAUGUGCCUUUGGAUUCUUAGUGGAUAUUAUGAUUAUUUUCAUGAUGGUAUCUGGGAUUAUUUUGGAGUAUUACUUUGGAUAUCAUAUUGCCUUUGGAUUAUUAGUGGCUAGUGUUAUUUCCAUCGUGAUGCUAGAUGAUAUUAUGUUUUGGAGUAUGAUGUUGGAGAUGAUGCUUGCAUGUGGAUCAUAGUUGGAUAGUUAGUUCUUGAUAUUUGAGUAGUAGUCUUAUCGUUCUCGGAUUCAUCAUGAUAGUGGUGUUAUGCUGUCCUCGGAGUAUUUUGGUAAGACGAUAUUAAGCCUUGGAUUAUUUGUGGGAUAUUGCUAUGCAUUGGAUUAUACACUACUAGGGAAAACCUUAUACACAGAAAUUUAGCAGUAGCGCGUGUCAAAAAUGGGCGCUAGUGCUAAAUAGAAGUAGCGCGCGUGCGAAAACCGCGCUAUAGAUACAAUAGUAGCAGUAGCGCGUGCACAUGAAAAAGUGCUACCACUAAUAUUCCCAUUGCUAAAACGACAUGCUACACAUAGCAGUAGCGGUCUUGAGAGAAGCGCGCUACCGCUAGGACAUAAGUAGCAGCGCGUUUCGCGCGGACAGCGCUACUGCUAAUGGAAAUAAAAUAAAAUGAAAAACAAAUGAAAAAGUAAAUGAAAAAGGAGAAAGGAAAAAAUAAAAUGUAGAGCAAAAUAAAUGAAAAAGCAAAAAAAAGGAGAAACGCGUAGCAGUAGCGUUUGUUCGUAAGAGGCGCUAUAGCUAACGUAGCUGCAACGCGUUUCCUAGACCCCCGCUGUAGAAACAGAAAAGGAAAUAAGAAAUAUGAAGGAAAUUACAUAGCUAUAGCAGUAGCGCGUUUUGUGAAAAUCGCUAUAGCUAACUUAGCUAUAGCGCGUUUCGCGAAAAGCGCUACCGGUAAGUUUGACUUAACCAAAAAACCGUUUCCCCCGGCCACCACUUCUCCCCCAAAUCCCUCGACCCACCCCGCUGCCGUCUGCUCGAUUCGCCGUUGCCCCACUUCGCCACCGUCUCCUGCCGACGUCGACGCCCCCGGAGCCACCAGAGCCGCGCGCCGUCGACGCCACCGGAGCCGCGCGGCCUCAUCAACGCCACCAGAGCCGCAGUCGACGCCACCGGAGCCACAGUCGACGCCACCAGAUCCUCCCUCGCCACAACUGCCUCCCUCGCCGUCACCGGAGACGCCCCUGCCUCCCUCGCCACCACUGCCUCCCGCGCCACCACCGGAGCCAUCCUCUGUAAGCCCCCACCCCUCCUCUCUCUCUCCCUCUCUAAAUUAGUUAGGAAAAGAAUUUAGUUAGGUUAAUUUAGUCAGGAAAAUAAUUUAGAUAGGGCUUUGACAGAGACGCCCCUGCCUCCCUCGCCGUAGGAAAAAAUUGUAUAUGCUUAACUAGGGCAGUAGGGUUAGGGUUGUAGUGUUUAAUUACAAAUGUUAGGAAAGUAAGGUUUAACUAGAUGUUAACUAGGGUGGUAGGAUUUAGUUUAGAGAAAAAAAUCAAUAUAAAAAUAUAAAUUUCUAUUAGUGUUGCAAGUCAAGUAGGUUCUUAAUUUUUAGUGAAUUUUUAUUAGGACAAAAAUUUAGGACAUAAUUUGAGUUCUAGGUUCAUAAUUUGAGUUCUAGGGUUCAUCCAUCUAUAUUUGGUUUUUGAAUUGAGUUUCAGAGAGCAUGAGAUUUGUGUAGAUUUUCUUGAAGUGUCAAACACUAGGAGAUGCAAAUUUGAAGUGGUCAUGAUAUAUGAAAAAUCCUCAAUUGUGUUUGCUCAUUGAUCAUAAUCGACAUUGAAGUGGUUCAAUUGUGCCCAAGUGGCCUUUUGUUGUUUCCAGGGAAUGAAGCCGAGUGGCCUAUGUUUUGCCGGAAUGUUUAUUCAUUUCCGUUCCGGCAAAAUUCAGGUUCUCGAUUUGUCCACUUUUUAACAAAGGUCAUGCAAAUUUUUUUUUGAAUUUCGGCAUGACUUGUGCUACAAGUAGGACAUAUCGAGUGGUCGGGAUUUGCCGCACCGGGAAGGAGUCAACGUUCCUGCAAAACAACAGGCCUUUUUAUGCCAUUAUUCAUUUUAUUAGGUCUAGAAUUAAUUGACUAGAUUUAAUCGUAGGAAACAUGGCUAGAAACGAUGAAGGACAGGGUUCUGGUGAUUGCGACAACGUCUACCGGGCGGCAGGCGAAUUUUUGAGCCUUGCCGAUGAGACUGAGACCGGCGCUGAGACUGAGACCGGCGCUGAGAUUGAGACCGGCAUCAAGACCGGCGCUCAGACUAAGACCGGCGCCGAGACUAGCGGAGCCGGUGUAGAACCGAAAGCAAAGAGGCAACUGCUUCCUAACAAGCUCAGGACUACUAGACUAGUGGUCAUGGAGGUGGACGACGACAAUUUUGAGCCAAAAGCGCCACAGGAAGCGCGCGCGUGCUAUGGCAAUCAAAUAGGCUGCAUCGUACGGACAACCGCCACCAUCAACGAUGAGAAACUACAGAAGAUAGAUAAUAUGAGGACCUCCCUCCUAAAGAAGUUUCACCAGAUAUUCUUGUUCCCGGGCCGGAAUGAAAAGGAUUAUAAAGAUCCAGAUAAGGACCCGGCAAUGAAGAAGAUAAACAAACACGCCAUGACCAAGUUUAGCGACGCGUUGGCCGCUUGGAAAACAAGGGUGAAAGCAAGGAUCAUCGACAAGAAGGAACCCUACUCCGAGAUUGUAAAGGAUAAUCUGACAAUCACGGAAGAGCAGUUUCAAAUAUUCAAGGCGGCUUGCGAGGCCGAAGCUGCCAAAAAAAAGUCUAAGUACAUGAAGGGGAUUCAACAGAGGAACAUUGGGAGCCACCACCUCGGAAGCCAUGGUUACGGCGGGAAGAGGUCCAAAUGGGACAAGGAGGACGCGGAAGCCGCGAGUCUGGGCAUCCCAGACCCCUUGGCGGAGUUCACCAUCCCGCAGGAGCGUGACGUCCUUAGGGCCCCGCACCGUUGGGACCCAGUGAAGAAGGUUUUAGAUACGACACGGUCACGACGGAGUUCGUCAGACUGCUGGUAAUUUUAGUUUUUGAUCAAUUUGACUGCACGUUAGUCAUAUUUGUAAACGAUCCUUGUGCCUUUUGUAGAGAGAGCAGCACAGGAUUGCGGCCGAAAGCGACUCGCCGUCUGAGGCGUUGGCGAGGCCCAAGUGGGACACUCCAUUCAACCGGGCAUUGAACAUAUUGAAACAACUCCCGGUGGAUACUCGACCGUCGUAUGGACGCGUGCACGGUGUCGGAGACGGCGCCACGUGGAAGAAGUACUACAGUGACACCAAGGAGGAGAGAAAGGAAAGACAGAGGUUAACCGAAGAAAACAUCGACAAGAAGGUUGAGAUUGCGGUUGAGAAGAAAUCAUCUCAGAUAGUCGCAACAGCGGUAGCUGCCGCAAAACAGAUGGUUGUAGAUAUGUCCACUUCCUUGGUUCUGGCCGUUUUCAAUUGGACCAGGCAAAAUACAGAAAAAAUGCAGCGGACUUUCCCCUUGCUGACUUCUUGGGGAGCAGCUCGACUAGCGUUGCACCAGCACCUGCAGCUGCACCUGCUCCCGCACCGGACGUGCUCGGCGGUGCUUCGUCUUUGGCUGAGCUCGACGCCCUCACGGUAUCUGUCACACCGGCCCCUUCAAUAAAUGUAUAAUCUCCCGUUUUCGUUGCCUUUUGGAUGUCUCACGUCGCAGACUUUUCUUUGUAGGCUGACGAAACCCCAUGCACCAUAUUGUACACCAUCGGUGACCAGAAGGUGGACGUGGGGAAGGCGAUGAUAAUGAAGCCGAAGGAACCAUUGUUCCACAGUCGGCCGAUCCCCCCGAACCUCUUCAAGGUUUCCGUGGCCAGUGUCAAACCGGGCCAUGAGAAUUUGCCUCCUCUGGUACUAGGGGGGAUGACGACGAGACCCCGCGGCGGCUUGGUGAUUGUUGCAAUGGGUGGCUCCUGUUGUGGCCAAAGAGUCUGCUUCGUCUGGAGGCGGUCGGGAGCACCCCCACGAGCACGCAGCCUCAGCAAGGUAUGAACAUCAACACCCCACCUACCCAAUUAGCGUCGGGUGUCGGGUUGGGUGAUAGCGGACGGGGUAAGGAAGAGGCUCCAUUAGUCGCUGAUGACGUCACCAUGGAUGAGGAUGAGGAUUUACGAUGGCACUCAACAGUAUGUCUAUACUGGCGCCUACUCAGGGUUUGAGCGUCAUGAGUCGGUGCCUGAAUUGCCGCCUCCGGAGGCUCAACGUAUUAUAGACGACCUUCCGGCAAAGAAGCCUAGGAAGAGAGCGAGGAAAGGCAGGAAAGCUGAUUCUAUGAUCCAGCCGCCUCAGCAGCCUCGGGUUCAAGACCGUAUAGAUAUCACCGGUGCGGAUAAAUUGCAUAUCCCCGGUCAACCAAUCCUACAUGCAGCAGCGCUAAGGGCCAGAUUCGACAAUCUUAGGAGUCUUCAUGACGAUGUGCUACGGAUAGAGAAAGGCCUCAUCGCCUCGAAAGAUCCAGGAUACCCACUCUACGUGGUUAACGUUCCACGGCAAUUGUCGUACGUCGGCUUCUUCCCCGCGGAUAAGUUCUUCCUUCGAUUCGAUUACAUAUUCGACAUGUUUCACGUGAAGAAGCUAGAUUUUACGUUUGUCCGCCUUUAUGCCUUGCACAUGAACUACAUCAUUGGGGUUGAGCAGAUACCUCAUAUCUGUGUCGCUGACCCGUACUUCAUGCACGAGAGCUUCUUGGGAGUCUGCGCAAAGCACCAUGAAUACGCGAGGGAAUACAUCGUCAAUUUCAUGCUCGCCAAUAAGGACAAGGAGGCGAUUCUCGUGCCUUAUCAUCCCCUGUAAGUCAUCCGCACAGAUAUCAUUCCUUCGAUUUCAAUCAUUCAUUUGCAUGGUGGAGGCUAAUUAAUUUGAGGUGUACUUAUUUUGCGCAGCGGCGGGCGCGCCGUCCUCGUCAUCCUCUACCCCCGAUACUCCCACGCUCUUUACUUGGACUCGUCGAAGAACAUUCACAAAAAGGAUUACACCCACAUAAAGGAUGUUCUCGACAGUGCUUUGUUUUACUACGAAGCACGGGGUGGAGAGGUCAUGGACAAGAAGAGAAGGGGUGGCAGGCUCGCCUUCGGCCAUAAGACCGACUUCUCCUGCAUCCAGCAACUGAGUGGUUCUCUUAUGAUGGAUUCUAUGUCCUACACCACAUGCUGGAGUACAGACGGGAUCACCAGAACCUUCGCUUGUCACCUACAUCCGGCGAUGCCCAUAUUCUGCAACGGGCAAAGAACGUAGGAGAUAUCGAGGAUCAUCGACUUCGAGCCGAGUUCUAUCACAUCCAGCACGAACUUGCCCAAAUCAUCAUGAAGGAGGUCGUCGGAGAAACAGGGAUGUUCUACGAAGAAGGACAAAUGUUGAGGGAAGACGUCCGAACACGGGUAGCCUCUCAGCGUCUCGACCUGAAGCCUUUCACUAGGCUCGGGGACUAUCUCCCUGACUUGGAUGGAUGGCACGACAUAUUGGAGUGAUUGUCGAUAUAUGACAAUGUGUCCGUUUAGUCCAUCCUUUGCGUAUGACGAAACUUUGAGUUAUGCACGACGAAACUUUAUUGGUGAUGUAAUUAAACCGUCCUCCUCGACUAGCAACGAUCACUCUAGUUAAGGCAUUUUGGGUACGAUCAACUUUGUUAUUUAUGCUCAUGAUAUGUUGCUUCUAUUUUUGCCAAGUCUGUCUCUUUCUGUUGCUCAACUAUAUAUGUUGCAUAUCAUUGACUCAUGUGACGAUGCAGGAGCAUAGAUCAUCAAUGGCAAAGAAGUGCUACGCUAGGAGUAUAUAUACGACGAGUGGCCGGAGUGUCAGGCCCAGGUGUACCGGUUUCCGGUUUCCGAGCGACAGGCAGUAGCUAGUUUAGGUUCACGCUAAUGCGAGAGAGGGAUACGAACUCAUGUACUGCAUAGUUCCGCUCUCACUCAAAGUGAUAGCUCUUCUCGCGUAUAUCAUUGUUUAGAUGGAUGACGAUGUAGUUGCAAGUAAUCGAGACUUGUAUCGCUAUUUUCGAGAUGAUGACGAGAUACCACUUUGUGUUGGAUGAUGAUUAUGAUGAGACUAUUUGUAUGUAUAUGCUAUGAUUACAUUUGUGGCGUCGCAGCCAUUUGUCGUGUAUCAUGAUGACAUUUGUAUCUGCUAAAGAUUCUUGUAUAAAGCCUGUUCAAAUACAAAACAAAUAUGCAGAAAAAAACAAAAACUACUAAAAUUAGCAGUAGCUGACGAGGACAUGUACCUAGGGUAGGGCCACAGGCCUGACCUAAAUAACCUCCCCAAGGACAUCACUCUAAAGCCAGAAGCAUUCGAGGGGUACCAUCACGCACUCGACCAGAAACAUUUCCACUCAGAGGAAUCAAGAUCACUCGACCGUAACAAGAAACACUCGACGGACAGAAGACCUAAAGUCACUCUACACAGCAACGGUCGAGCAUUAACUCCUAGACUUAAUAGCCAUUUAUAACACUUUAUUACGGACGUUACCAGUAAUGCCCCCCUCUUGAUGUACCUUAAAACCCUUGUAACGUGGGCUGGCCGGGGUCCUGGCGCACUCUAUAUAAGCCACCCCCUCCACAUGCACAAGGGUUCGCACCCCCUGUAACACACACGCAUAUAAUCCAGUCGACCGCCUCCGGGCUCCGAGACGUAGGGCUGUUACUUCCUUCGAGAAGGGCCUGAACUCGUAAAACUCGUGCGUACAGCUUCUCCAUAGCUAGGAUCUUGCCUCUACAUCCCUACCUCCCAUUCUACUGUCAGACUUAGAACCACAACAGUUGGCGCCCACCGUGGGGCCGGUGUCUUAGCGACUUGUUGGAGAAGUUGUAAUUUUUCCGACCCCCAUCAGCAUGGUUUCAGGCGGAGGAUUGGCCGAGGGCCGCAAGAUCCUUCUCGGCGCGCUCGCGUUCAUCACCGACGACUCCACUUGGCUCCAAGAAGCUCCACUCGACGUCGAGGCGCUCCCCGUCCGCGGGGUAAUGCACUUUCGCGGGUGCGUCCGCGGCGUCCUCCUGCGGCAGCCGUCGACCCAAUAUCGGUCGGCUCCGGUGGCGUCUUCACUCCCUGCUGCUCGCCGGCACAAGCGUUCCGGUCGGUCGAGGCUCCAGCGGUGGCUCGCCAGUCAGCCAUCCCCCAAGUUGCGGCAAUCGAGCCCGACGAAACUCUCUACGGCCUGUUCGACCUAUCGACUGGCUCCGUUGAGACCGCAUCCGAGUGCGACAGUAGUGACCCCGCGGCGGAAGUCCUGAUGGUCAACGGACCGCGCAGUCCUCCUGGCUUCCCCCGCGAUGACGGUGGUGAUGGCGGAGGCGAUCCGUCGCGUGUCCACGAGGAGUACCGCCCCGAGCCCCUCUCUUCGCAGCAGAGGGAAGAGCUUCGCCGCUGUAACAUGGAUGCACUUCACACUCCUAUCGUUGGAGAAACCCCCGAGGCCCGGGCCUUGGAGGAGGUGUACCUGGCCAACUUGGCUGAGCGCACUCGACUGGAGAAUCUCCAGCACGCACUCGACGAGCGUGCUCGGCAGCGAGUUCCUGAAUCCAGUCGACGACAACUUUUUUCGCCUCCAACCCAGGUAUAUCGAACUCCGAUCCAUAAUCUCACAGCUGCUGCCCGAAUAGCAGAGUCGAUUCAGCCUUCCCAGUCGGAGGCUGGUAGGGGUUUGAUGCAGAUCUGGGCUUUGCUCCGGGCGGCGGGGGAGCAGAAUACAACAGUGUCACAGUCUUGGAAUAGGAUUCAUAGUAGAUCUGUAAUGGCAGACACAGUUCAGUCGGCUCACAACCCAAGAUCACCUCCAAGGCGUGAGGGACGUGGAGAUCGACAGGAUCAGUACAAAAACCGUGAGCAGUAUGAUCGUCGUCGAGUACCCACGCCUCCCCCAAGGAGUGGGUCAUACGCGCCUCGGCAACACGAUGACAUGCGCCCUCACAGUGGUGGGCGAAGGAUUCCAGACCCCCGGGAGCCGGGCUUUGACGCGAGAUCCAUUCUCGUCCAAGGUCUGGUUGACAGGAACAGAGCACACAGAGAUGGCCACGAUAGAGAUUACCCGACCGGCAGCAGGGUGCAUGUUUCAGGUCCCGAGUGUUUCAGCAGAGCCAUCAGAGCAGCAGUGAUUCCUCCCAACUUCAGGUUGGCGACUGGAGUCAGCAAGUUCACUGGUGAGUCCAAGCCUGUCACGUGGCUUGAGGACUACCGAGUGGCUGUGCAGAUUGGUGGUGGCAAUGAUGAAGUGGCCAUGAAGCACCUUCCUCUGAUGUUAGAGGGCUCGGCCAGAGCGUGGUUGAAUCAGUUAGCACAUGGCAGUAUUUAUAGCUGGGAAGAGCUUGCCCGAGUGUUUUUCAGAACAUUUGAAGGUACAUGCAAAUGGCCAGCAGGGCUAACAGAGCUACAGUCCUGUGUGCAGAAGUCGAAUGAAACUUUGAGAGAUUAUAUCCAGAGACGGAUCAUGUUGCACCACACGGUGGAGAAUGUGUCUGAUCACCAAGCAGUUUGUGCCUUCAAGGAAGGCGUCAAGUAUCGAGAAUUGAAUCUGAAGUUCGGUCGGACCGGAGAUAUGUCUCUGAGUCGAAUGAUGGAAAUUGCCACCAAGUAUGCUAAUGGUGAAGAGGAGGAUCGGCUCCAGAGUGGCAAGCACAAAAUAGUCGCCCACGAAACCGGGGGAGGGAACUCCAGUCAAAAGCAGAAGCGUAAAGCCGAGCCAGCUGCUCCCGGAGAAGCCUUAGCCGUGACUCAAGGAAAGUUCAAGGGGAAGCCCAAAGGGCCAUGGAACCCCAAGAAAGUAAAAGAUCAUGAUGGAAAUGAUGUGUUGGAUUUACCAUGCCACAUUCACACCAAAAAGGAUGAGGAGGGUAAUCUCAUUUAUCCAAAACAUACCACUCGACAAUGUCGGCUCCUAAUCCAGCAGUUCCGAGAGAAACAACCCAAAGAAAAGGAGAAAGAAUCAGACAAAGUUGAGGAUAAGGAAGAGGACGAUGAUGGUUACCCCCACGUCAAUUCCACUCUGAUGAUUUUUGCUGAUGUUGAGAGCAAGAGUCGACUGAAAGUCAUCAACAGAGAAGUGAACAUGGUCGCUCCGGCGAUGCCCAGUUAUUUGAAGUGGUCUCAGAUUGCCAUUACAUUCGACCAGUCUGAUCACCCGACACACAUAGCCACCCCUGGGAGGCAAGCGUUGGUGGUCGAACCAGUCGUCGAAGGCACUUGGUUGACUAAGGUUCUGAUGGAUGGUGGCAGUGGCCUGAAUAUACUAUGUGCGGAGACCUUGGAAGGAAUGGGCAUUCCGAUGUCCAGACUCAGUGAAAGCAAUAUGAGUUUCCAUGGGGUUAUUCCUGGCAAGAAGGCUGAGUCUCUCGGCUAGAUCGCCCUCGAUGUGGUUUUCGGUGAUUCCAAGAAUUACCGCAAAGAAAAGUUGACGUUUGAAGUCGUCGAUUUCCAGAGUGCUUAUCAUGCUAUUCUGGGCAGGCCGACUUAUGCAUGUUUCAUGGCUCAACCAUGUUACGUUUACCUCAAAUUGAAGAUGCCUGGUCCUAAAGGAGUGAUCACUAUCACUGGCAAUCGGAAGAAGGCAGAAGAGUGCUUCCAGAAGGGCUCAAAGAUCGCCGAUGCGCAAAUGGCAGUAGUGGAAUUGCAGGAGUAUCAAAAAAAAUGCAGAUCCGAGUGAUUUGUUGCGAGCUAAGAAGCCUGCCACCGAUUCAGCAUUUCAGUCGUCUGGUGAAACGAAGCCGAUUCAUAUUCACACGACCGAUCCCAAUGCUGCUCCGACUCACAUUUCGACAACACUCGACUCCAAAUAGGAAGAAGCGCUCAUCCAGUUCCUCCGUGAGAACUGGGACAUCUUUGCAUGGAAACCUUCUGACAUGCCGGGUGUUCCCAGGGAGCUGGCUGAGCACUGUUUGCGAGUCGACCCAAAAGUGAAACCAGUCAAAGAACAUCUUUGACGGUCCGCCGUACAGAAGAGAAAAGCAAUCGGUGAAGAAGUGGCUCGGCUCCUAACAGCUGAGUUUAUCCGAGAGAUUUACCACUCCGAGUGGCUAGCCAAUGUUGUCAUGGUCCCCAAGAAGGACGACUCACUUCGCAUGUGCAUUGACUUCAAGCAUAUCAAUCAGGCCUGCCCGAAAGAUCACUUUCCUCUCCCCUGCAUCGAUCAAAUAGUCGACUCGACUGCAGGGUGUGAGCGCUUGUCCUUUUUGGACGCUUAUUCCGGGUAUCAUCAGAUCCGACUGUAUGGACCCGAUGAGAUAAAAACAGCUUUCAUCACUCCAUUUGGGUGCUUCUGUUAUGUCACCAUGCCAUUCGGCCUGAAGAAUGCUGGAGCCACAUCCAUGAGGACAAUUUAGAAGUGUUUACUCACUCAAAUCAGUCGGAAUGUGGAAGCAUACAUGGAUGACAUUGUGGUCAAGUCAUGUAAAGGUUCCGACCUGUUGGCUGACCUUGCUGAAACUUUUGCCAACCUCAAAAGGUAUGAUAUCAAGCUUAAUCCAUCAAAGUGCACAUUCGGAGUUCCGGGCAGAAAAUUACGGAUUCCUUGUUUCCAAACGGGGGAUCGACGCUAACCUAGAGAAAGUUGGUGCCAUUCUCCGAAUGAAACGCCCUGUGCGUGUGCACGAUGUCCAGAAGCUUACAGGUUGUUUGGCCACCUUAAGUCGAUUCAUUUCUCGCCUCGGUGAAAAGGCAUUGCCUCUUUACCGACUGAUGAAGAAGUCUGAUAAGUUCAAGUGGACUCCUGAAGCUGAUGCAGCAUUUGCAGAGCUCAAAGCCCUGCUUUCCACCCAGCCGGUGCUUGCUGCCCCAAUCAGCAAAGAGCCUUUACUGAUUUACAUUGCAGCCACUGGACAAGUCAUCAGUACAAUACUUACGGUCGAGCGGGAAGAAGAAGGAAAAGCCUGUAAAGUUCAGCGCCCAGUAUACUAUGUUUCUGAAGUUUUGACUCCAUCAAAGCAAAGAUAUCCACAUUAUCAGAAGCUUGUUUAUGGGAUUUAUAUGACCACGAAGAAGGUUGCACAUUAUUUCUCUGACCACUCCAUUACAGUCGUCAGCGAUGCUCCAUUAUCAGAGAUUCUGAACAACAGAGAUGCAACCGGUCGAGUGGCAAAGUGGGCGAUUGAACUCCUUCCCUUGGAUAUUAAGUUUGAGGCAAAGAAAGCUAUCAAGUCCCAAGCAAUAGCAGAUUUCCUCGCCGAGUGGAUCGAACAGCAACAGCCGACUCAAGUCCACUCGGAGCACUGGACCAUGUUCUUUGAUGGUUCCAAGAUGCUGAAUGGUUCCGGUGCUGGGGUGGUACUGGUAUCCCCCCGAGGAGACAAGCUCAGAUAUGUUCUCCAGAUUCACUUUGAUUCCUCCAAUAACGAAGCGGAAUAUGAAGCACCCUUAUAUGGGUUACGUAUGGCCAUCUCGCUCGGCGUCCGUCGCCUCAUGGUCUACGGUGACUCAGAUUUGGUAGUCAAUCAAGUGAUGAAGGAGUGGGAUGUCAGAAGCCCAGCUAUGACUGGUUACUGCAAUGCGGUGAGGAAGUUGGAAAAGAAGUUUGAGGGGUUAGAGCUCCAUCAUAUACCUCGACUGAAAAGUCAAGCAGCCGAUGAUUUGGCAAAUAUAGGCUCCAAGAGGGAAGCCAUUCCCAGCAACGUGUUUUUGGAACACAUUCAUACACGUUCAGUUCAACAAGAUCCUUUCACUGAAGAGCCCCCGCAUCCUAAGAGUGCCACAGAUCUGACUGAAGUCGAAGUCCCAGCCAUGCUCGACCUGAUCACGGAGGUUUUGGUCAUCACUCCCGACUGGACAGUGCCAUACAUUGCGUAUAUCCUUAGGAAGGAACUCCCAGAGGAUGAAGAAGAGGCUCGACAGAUCGUCCGUCGAUCCAAAGCCUUUACUGUGAUAAGAGGACAACUGUUCAGGGAAAGCGUAACCGGAGUUAGCCAGAAAUGCAUAACACCAGAAGAAGGUCGAGUGAUCCUCAACGACAUCCACUCAAGGACCUGUGCUCACCAUGCGUCCUCUUGGACCAUUGUGGCCAAAGCAUACCGAGCUGGAUUUUAUUGGCCACGAGCAAAUGAAAUGUCGAAAGAUAUAGUCGACAAAUGUGAAGGCUGCCAGUUUUACUCCAAUAUGUCCCACAAGCCUGCGUCAGCCCUGAACACUAUUCCACUCGUCUGGCCCUUUGCUGUUUGGGGAUUGGAUAUGGUUGGACCCCUGAGAAUUGGUAGGAGCGGCUUCACUCAUGUGCUUGUAGCAGUUGACAAGUUUACCAAAUGGAUUGAAGCCAAGCCUAUCAAGAAUCUUGAAGCCAGUACUGCCGUCAGCUUCAUCAGAGAAUUAACAUUCAGAUAUGGAGUUCCGCACAGCAUCAUCACUGACAACGGGUCGAACUUCGAUUCUGAUGAGUUUAGAGCCUUCUGUGCUUCCCAAGGCACACGAGUCGACUAUGCUUCAGUCGCCCACCCCCAGUCGAAUGGACAAGCAGAAAGACCAAAUGGCUUGAUUCUCAAAGGACUGAAACCCCGACUGAUGCGUGAUCUCAAGCACGCAGCAGGCGCCUGGGUCGAUGAACUUCCAUCAGUUCUUUGGGAAUUGAGGACAACUCCCAAUCGGUCGACUGGCCGAACUCCAUUCUUCUUGGUUUAUGGAGCUGAAGCUGUUCUACCGAGUGACUUGCUUCACAAUGCACCCGGAGUCGAGCUCUUCUCUGAAGAUGAAGGAGAACAUGCCCGGCAGGACGCAGUCGAUCCCCUAGAGGAGGAAAGAGAGAUGGCCUUAAUCCAGUCGACCAUUUAUCAGCAAGACUUGCGUCGAUUCCACGCCAGAAACGUGAGGGGCCGAGCCUUUCAAGAGGGAGACUUGGUUCUUCGAGUGGAUCAGCAGAAACCACACAAGCUCGCCCCUGCUUGGGAAGGUCCCUUCAUUGUCACCAGAGUUCUCCACAAUGGAGCAUACCAUCUUUACAAUGUCGAGCAUCAGAGAGACGAGCCACGGGCUUGGAACGCGGAGCUGCUCCGCCCCUUUUAUACUUAAGUACUCAUUCGGAUGAUAUGUAAUUAGAAAUACCUUUGUAGUUUAUUUAUCAAAGACAAGAGCUUUACAGUCUUCCUAAAUGGUUGUUGUUGCUUUUGUUUGCGUCUGAAAUCCCCCAGUGGGUGACUUUGCCGCGAAUCCGUUUCGCCUAAAGUUUGAAAAACCUACCGAGUGAUGAGCAAGCCUCUCACUUGGGGGCUUAGCCGCGAACCCGUUUCGCCUAAGUUUGAAAAAACCUACCGAGUGAUGAGCAAGCCUCUCACUCGGGGGCUUAGCCGCGAAUCCGUUUCGCCUAAGUUUGUAAAAUCCUACCGAGUGGUGAGCAACCCUCCCACUCGGGGGCUUAGCUGCAGUCCAGUACUCGCCUAAGUUUGAAAAAUCCUACCGAGUGGUCAGCAACCCUCCCACUCGGGGGCUUAGCUGCAGUCCGGCACUCACCUAAGUUUGAAAAAUCCUACCGAGCGGUGAGCAACCCUCCCACUCGGGGGCUUAGCUGCAGUCCAGUACUCGCCUAAGUUUGAAAAAUCCUACCGAGUGGUGAGCAACCCUCCCAGUCGGGGGCUUAGCUGCAGUCCAGUACUCGCCUAAGUUUGAAAAAUCCUACCGAGUGGUGAGCAACCCUCCCACUCAGGGGCUUAGCUGCGGUCCAGUGCUCGCCUAAGUUUGAAAAAUCCUACCGAGUGGUGAACAACACUCCCACUCGGGGGCUUAGCUAGAGUCUAGUACUCGCCUAAGUUCGAAGUCCAUCCCUAUCCGCAAGGACGACGAGGUGCAGGUCGACUGCAACUUUCUCCUUCGGAGCUGCGCCACAAGUACAACUUUUUCCCACCCCUAUCCGCAAGGACGACGAGGUGCAGGUCAACUGCAACUUUCUCCUUCGGAGCUGUGCCACAAGUACAACAUGCGCUCCACCCUUUUCCGCAAGGACGACGAGGUGCGGGUCGACUGGAGCAUCAACCUCAGAGCUGCAUCUCAAGCACAAAGAUUAUUCCGUGUGAAGAACAAAUUCCACUCGAAGACAAAUACAAGCAUAUUCAGAGAUAAAUCAAGUUCAGAUAAAUCCUAAAGUUCAAGACCACGAAUGAAAGUACUCGGGCAUUCAGCCUGAAGGAGUUUAACGGUUACAAAAUCACUCGGCAUUCCGAGGCAAAUUUAAGGCAUAGCAUAAAAGUUUGUUCACUCCGCAGGAGGAGGGCUGGCAGGCUCGACGAAUUCGUCCAGGUCGAUCCCGUCAGCAAUCCGAGUGGCAGCAGCAAUGAAAGUCUCCAUGAAGGACUGGAAGUCAUGCCUCUAGGUGUUAGCAACUUUAAUCGCCGCCAGCUUCUCUUCCCGAGCUUCUCGACAGUGCACGUGAACCAGAGAUAGAGCCACAUCAGCGCCGCACCGGGCUGAAGACUUCUUCCAUUCUUUAAUUCGACUGGGAGCUUCAUUGAGCCGAGCCAUCAUAGAAUCGAGGUCAUUCUGAAGUGUUGCCAUGGGCCAGUGAGCUGUGUCAAUCCGCGACAUCAUGACUUUCAGUCGGGCGAGAUAAUCGACAACACCAGUGAUGCGGGAUUCCAGUUGGAGCACGUUCAUGGCAGCUUCAUCCUUCACUAGAGAGUUGAUGGGGUCCAAGCUUGGUUCAAUUCGCCCGGUCUCUUCCUCGAAGUCCCGGCAAAACUCUGCAUACACAAUUCAAGGGUAAGCCAAUGAUCAUAUGUCGAGUCGACAAGAACAAACCAGUCGGAUCAAAGGAAACACCUUCAAGCAUGACGAACAACUUUUUAGCAUGGCUUCCCAGAUAAUUCUCCAGAUCGUUCCUUCUGCGGGCAAUACCUUCCGUCUUCUUGUUCAGAUUUUCCUUGUCCUUCUUCAGGCGAGUCGCUUCCUUAUUGGCUUCGUCAAGGGCAGUUUUCAGCCUGGAGUUUUCUUCCUCCAAUUUUCCGACUGAAGCCAACUUCUGUUCAGCGAGCGCAAUUUUCUCAUCAGCUUUUUUCUGCACGGCCGCCAGAUCUUGAUCCUUUUUCGCCAUAGCUUGGUUCAGUUUCUGUAAAAGAAAUAAUGUUGGAUUCAGAAAAAGCAGAAUGAAAUCCGGUUCAGGGAAAACUCAGUCGACAGGUCUUCCUUACCAGCGGCGUCAUCCUUGGCUUUCUGCAGUUCUGCCUUGGCCAGCUCCAGAUCGAGGUUGAGCUGAAUCUGCUACUUCUCCAGGUCAGCAAAACGAGCUCCAAGAUCACAAGAUUUCUGCAACCAAAGAACAGGUCAGUCGACUGGUGAAAAGAUUGGUUAUUUCGGAGAGGUAAAAGGAUAAAGCCAACAAAUUCUAAGACUACUGCCGAAUCAAACAUCCAACAGUAGUCUCGGGGACUACACCCAGUGGGUGCACUUAGCAUGCCCCCACUGGUUUAGUUUACACUCGACAAGGCCUAUCCAGCACGAGUGCAAAAAAAACAGAGUCUUCAGACCAUAGUCGACUGCCAGCAGUUGACCACGGUCUCGAGGACUACACCCAGUGGGUGCACUCAGCGUGCCCCCACUGGUUCAAAGUUCCACUCGACAUGGCCUGACCAGAUCGAGUGAAGAAAUUCAAAUUCUGAUGCUCAGAUCAUAGUCGACUGCCCGCAGUCAAUUAUGGUCUCGGGGACUACACCCAGUGGGUGCACUCAGCGUGCCCCCACUGGUCAAAAGAUUCAAUCAACAACAACAUUAUCAGCUUAAAGUGCGAAUCUGUUCAGUGACAAAUCAAAACACCCAGUGGGCAUACAGAUGCAAGGCGUAGACAGAUGCAAAGAUUCUUGGAAAGAAAGUUUUCAGGUACCAUAUCCUAACAGAACAUGCCACAGGAGUUAGUCGACGAUCUACUAACCUGACGUUGCUCUGGAGAGCGGAGCUGGCAUCAUAAGCAGCUUGGCUGGCUUCCCGCACCAUCUUCAUCUUCUCCAUCAUAAUGCCCGCCUGGCGUAUAGCCUCUUUUGCAGCACCCACUUGGUCCUCUAGGACGUGAUGUGUAGAAAAAGUGAAGGUGGAUCGGUGGGAGUCUGUGCAGCUGACGAGGAAGGCCGAGCACUCGACAGCCGUAUGGCGAAGGAGACGGAAGUCCUAUUGGCAUCGCCGGCGUCCUGAAUUACCGGUUCCGCCAUCGGUGUCGAUUGAAGCGUCUUGCUAGCGGACGUUUUCCUGUUUCUUCUCCCCAAGGGCCUCUGUGGCUUGUCCUCGUCGUCGUCGGGGAGGUCAAUGAUGUUGAGGGCUGUAAAAAAAGCAGUCGCCAAAGUUUCAUCACCCGAUUGGAUAUAUCGCAGUUCAAUCGACAAAUCGAAGAUAAAAUCACGAGGAUUGUACUCAGAUUGGAGGUCACCGCAUCUUCCAUUUCCUCAUCCUCGUUUUCAUAAGCAGAGGUCCCAGAGGUAGCAGCACUGCCUGUUUCAAGAUUCAUUCGGUCAAACCAAGGGAAAAAUAAACAGCACAGAACGUCGAGUAAAAGCGAAAGAAGAACACUCACGCAGAAGCAACGGGAACGUCAAUCUUGAUUCUCGGCAGCGCCUUCCGAGUCUUCUGCACUACAACCUUGGACUGCUUUGGAGCUUUUUCAGUUGGUGCCGGAGAGGACGUCCGAGGACGCUUUGACGACUGCUCGGUCUGAACGGUCGCCUUGUCACGGGCGCUCGCCGGGUCGUGAGUAAGUUUGGAUCGCCUUUCCCUACAGGGAGGAGAGUCGACCUCUUCUUCGUCACUCGGUUCGUCGCUCUCCUCGUCCCCCUCUCCGUCGGAAUGCCACUCGCCGCUUUCACCUCCGCUUGCCUCACCCUCCGAGUCCUGCUCCUGCUCUCUGUUGGGCAUCGAAUACAUUUCAGUAAGGGCCUAGAAGAAAACAAGCAAGACAAAGUCAGUCGGUGAAGCAUAAACAGUUGCAUGUUAAAUCAAGAUGACACUCGGUAAUUCAGAAUCGGACCUUGUCUGGUUUGUAGGAUUGGUCAAGUGGAGGGAUUCUCCUGGCUCCUCUGGGGUUAUCCUUGUUGCCUGUGAUACUCCUCAACCACUUCUCCACCGUAUCCUCGUCGACUUCUUCUGGGUGCACCCGAGUGGAAUCUUCAAUGCCCGAAUACAUCCACAUCGGAUGGUCACGGGCUUGAAGUGGCUGAAUACGUCGUCUGAGGAAGACUUCCAGAAGAUCCAUUCCAGUUACACCCUCACGGAUGAGAUAGACCACUCGCUCAACCAGCACUUUCACUUCCGCUUUCUCCCCUGAAGUCACUUUCAAGGCGGAGGGCUUCUCUACGCGAGCCAUAGAAAAAGGAGGAAGUCCAGUCGACUGACCUGGAGUCGGCUGGUCUUUGCAGUAAAACCAAGUCGACUGCCACCCUCGUACUGACUCAGGAAGAAUUAUGGCUGGGAAAGAGCGCUUACCCCUCAUAUGAAUCCCAAGACCCCCACACAUCUGGAUCACUUGAGUCCUCUCGUCACCCGGGUUGGCCUUUUUGACCGACUGGGAGCGACACGUGAAAAUGUGCUUGAAGAGACCCCAGUGUGGUCGACAACCCAAGAAGUUUUCACACAGAGACACGAAAGCAGCAAGAUAUAUGAUGGUGUUGGGGAAAAAGUGAUGAAGUUGUGCUCCAAAGAAAUUCAAGAAAGCCCGAGAAAAUGAUGCAGAGCCAGAGAAAAUCCACGGUCGACGUCAGUGGCGAGGAGGACGCACUCACCCUCCCGCGGUCGAGGUUCGGUCUCAUCCUCCGGGAGCCGCGCCGAUCCGUGAGGAAUCAGCCCCUCCUCCGCCAGAUCGUCAAGGUCAUCCUGACUAAUCAUCGACCGGAUCCAGUCACCCUGGAUCCAGCCCCGUGGCAAACCGGACCGCGACGAGGAUCCACCCCGGCUGGACUUUUUCCCCUUCGCCUUCUUCGCGCGCUCCAGAGCCACCAUCUUUUCUUUCCCCAUCGCCGCGGACGGAGCUCGAGCGGAGCGGCGGCGCUGGAGGAGGAGUAGGCGCAGUGGGGAAAACUGAGAAGAGAGAAGAAGAAUGAGGAUGCACUGUUCAAAAACCCCGGUCCGGCGCCUUAUAUGGGGUUGCUUUCGAGUGACUGACCUGUAGGCCCGGGCAAUCUUAUCAAAUCCCGCAACAGUCGUGCGCGUGAUACGUGGCAAAAAAGGCGGUGCGGGAAUCGAGGCGGCCUUGCCUUAUCCAGCCCGAUUACUGCGGCCUCCUCCGCCCCGCGCGCUUCGCGAAAUUCGAAUCCCGCGAGAUCCGCGGGCAGCAGAACAACUUGUCAGACGGAAGAUCACCACCACAUUAGCACUCGGACCUCUUCCAGCAAAAGUUCACUCGACAAAACCAGGAAUGGAUCAAGGCGACUGAAAAAGAAGUUGGUGUCACCACCUCGGUUCGUUGAUCCAAAACAAGACACACCCGAAACGCGAAAAAUGAGUCGGAAGUAUUUUCAACUCCUUCUCCACUCAAACCCUGAUCCAUUCGGGGGCUAAUGAUGAGGACAUGUACCUAGGGUAGGGUCAGAGGCCUGACCUAAAUACCCUCCCCAAGGACAUCACUGUAAAGCCAGAAGAAUUCGAGGGGUACCAUCACCCACUCGACCAGAAACAUUUCCACUCGGAGGAAUCAAGAUCACUCGACCGUAACAAGAAACACUCGACGGACAGAAGACCUAAAGUCACUCUACACAGCAACGGUCGAGCAUUAACUCCUAGACUUAAUAGCCAUUUAUAACACUUUAUUAUGGAUGUUACCAGUAACGCCCCCCUCUUGAUGUACCUUAAAACCCUUGUAACAUGGGCUGGCCGGGGUCCUGGCGCACUCUAUAUAAGCCACCCCCUCCACAUGCACAAGGGUUCGCACCCCCUGUAACACACAUGCAUAUAAUCCAGUCGACCGCCUCCGGGCUCCGAGACGUAGGGCUGUUAGCUGUUACUUCCUCCGAGAAGGGCCUGAACUCGUAAAACUCGUGCGUACAGCUUCUCCAUAGCUAGGAUCUUGCCUCUACAUCCCUACCCCCAUUCUACUGUCAGACUUAGAACCACGACAGUAGCGAGUGGAGAAAGUUAGCAGCAGCGUGACAGUAGCAGUAGCGUGUCUAGCCCAAGCACGCUAGAGCUAUUAGCAGUAGCGAGCUUGCACGAAGCACGCUGCUGCUACAGUUGUAUACCAAUAGCGUGGGCGCCCACGCGCUGCUACUAAGUGUUAGCUGUAGCGCCUUAUUAGUAGCGCCGGUCCCCGUGCUACUAAUGUACCUAAAACCCGCGCUGCUGCUAGGCUUUUCAAUAGUAGUGAUAGUUUGAUAGUUGAUAUCGGAGUAUUAGUCAUCAUAGUUAUAUUUUUCGGGAUAAAUUCUGUCAUUAAGUUGGUCAGGUGCCACCGAACCGGGCUUUCUCCAGUGCAACCACAUUUGCCUUUAUGGGAAGGCCCUAAUGCGAUGCUAUUGCCGUGCCUCUCGCCGGUGCCUCCAACGAGGGAAGGUUAUGGGCGCGCGCUACCCUGAUCAGGUAGGCGAACAUAAGCCUUGUGUGCCCGUAGUUGGGUUUUGCGCACGUGUAUCCCCGUGUGGGAUAGUUUAUGUUUUGGCCACGACGGUGGUCGUUGUGUCUUUGGUAGACAUGGGGCCACCCAGGACUAGCCCUGUGGGGAGUGAGUCGGAGUGGCCGGGAGAGUGUCAUGGCAGUAGAUCGGUUUUGUCGGAACGCCGUUGGUCCACCCGAAUGGGAGUGCGAGGCCAUGGGUUCCGUGGUGUGGGUAAAGUGCGCUAGCUCUGCAGAGUGUGUGUUUAAAUCUAUCGAUAGCCGCGUCCUUGGUCAUGGGCAUGGGUUCGUACUAGGUCACACUGUUCGAUCAACACUCACAUGAUGGAAUGAUUUAUAGGUGAUUUAUAUGUUGAUAUUUUGAGCAUUACAGAUUAGCAGGAUGUUGAUGAUGAUGUUGGAGACCAAGUGUUGGUCAUGGUAGGGAUCGCCGGAAAGAUCACCAUUUGGGACCAAGUGUUGGUCAGGGUUGUGAUCGCCGGAAUGAUCACCGUUUGGUUUUGAUCACGAGGUGAUCGAGAUGGUAUAUUGCUUGGCUGGUUAGCCAAGAGAGAUAUGAUUAU